GUGUCAGCAGCCGCGGUAAUACGGAGGGUGCAAGCGUUAUCCGGAUUCACUGGGUUUAAAGGGUGCGUAGGCGGGUUUGUAAGUCAGUGGUGAAAUCCCGAAGCUUAACUUCGGAACUGCCGUUGAUACUACAGGUCUUGAAUACUCGGGAGGUGAGCGGAAUAUGUCAUGUAGCGGUGAAAUGCUUAGAUAUGACAUAGAACACCGAUUGCGAAGGCAGCUCACUACAGAGUCAUUGACGCUGAGGCACGAAAGCGUGGGGAUCAAACAGGAUUAGAUACCCCAGUAGUCC
rnacentral:rRNA from 1 species